rnacentral:lncRNA from 1 species
CGUGCGCUCUGUGCCUGAUUCAGAUCCUUGCCAUGUCUUCUCACAUGACUUUCAGAAUCAAGCUAUUCCUGGCAAAGAAACAAAAGCAAAAUCGUCCUAUUCCUCAAUGGAUUCAGAUGAAAACUGGUAACAAAAUCAGGUUCAACUCUAAGAGAAGACACUGGAGGAGUACGAAGCUGGGUCUGUAAGGAGUCACACAAUGGCAAGAACGAGGGUUUAUACUGAAGUGCGACGGUCGAUCAGUCUGGCCAGAUGGAUUUCAACAUUUUUAACCUGGAGACUUGCUUGUGUCUGAAUUAGAGUGUUU